UCUGCCUCCACGUUCAGCAAUUCUCCUGCUACAGCCUCCUGAGUAGCUGGGAUUACAGUUUGUGUUCCAGACCUGGAGGAGUGUGACCUUGAUAUUCUGGAAAAUAAGAUGUUACCUGACAUGAUGAACUAUACAGCCCAAAAUUCCUACUG